rnacentral:rRNA from 1 species
UACGGGGGGAGCAAGCGUUGUUCGGAUUUACUGGGCGUAAAGGGCGCGUAGGCGGCCAGCACAAGUCAGUUGUGAAAUCUCCGAGCUUAACUCGGAACGGUCAACUGAUACUGUGCGGCUAGAGUGCGGAAGGGGCAACUGGGAAUUCUUGGUGUAGCGGUGAAAUGCGUAGAUAUCAAAGAGGGAACACCUGGCGGCGAAGGCGGGUUGCUGGG